rnacentral:RNase_P_RNA from 1 species
UGAGCAGACUAUGCGAUAGCGUGAACGAAAAAGUUCAUGAGGAAAGUCCGAGCAUCACAGAGCAGGGUAACUGAUAACAUCAGCCGAGGGCGACCUUAGGGCAAGUGCAACAGAAAUAUACCGCCGCUUUUGCGGUAAGGGUGGAAAGGUGCGGUAAGAGCGCACCGGAUUAUCUGAGAGGAUAAUGCCGUGUAAACCCUACCCGAUGCAACUCCAAUGGUAAACCGAAAACCAAUGUCUGCUCGGCAGGUUCAGGUUUAUAGGAGGCUUGAGCUUUACGGCAACGUAAAGACUAGAUAGAUUAUCGCACACGACAAAACUCGGCUUAUCGGUCUGGUCACUAC